UCUCUCUGUAGCUCAGUUGGUUAGAGCGCUGCACUGGAAUCACAGGGCUGCAGGUUCGAUUCUGCCAGAGGAC
rnacentral:tRNA from 1 species